rnacentral:lncRNA from 1 species
CACUUCCUGCAACCUUCUAAGAUGGAUACUCAUCCCCUCAACGUACAGGAUAAAGGUUGGAAUUCAUGAGAAGACCAAGGAAGCGAGAGGCUGGGAAGAUGACAGAGGCCACAGAAUGGAAGAAAUGGUGGAGAAAAUCACCUUUGUGGCCCCAUAGGAAAAUCAAGACUACAUUGGAGGUACUGGAUAAGUGAUGUUACGCAAAAACAAAGAAUUCUGGAUGGAGCUUACAUUGAGUGUAAAACAACCUAAUGAAAGAGAAAACUCUGACAGAGCUGCCUGUCACAUUCAUCACCCUCUUUGGUACUUUGAGCUUGGAUUCCAUGUACUCUCUGAAGGUCAAUGUGACCUCCAGCCUACGAGGUACUGGAGGCCCCUCGUCACCUGUGAUGAGCUGCACUGCUGUCCAAUUUAGUUUAACUGCUGGUAGGGGAUCAUUUUUCUUUUGGAAGCUUCUUGUUUUAGUUAUUCCAAUCAAAUAUAUCAUCUCUUGCUUACUUUGGAGGUUAUCUCUGUCUACUAGAAUGUCAUUCAUUACUGCUCACAGAAUUUUUAUUAAUAAAUGCUCACUACAGUUCAUAUUUCUUACUCAAACACAUUUAAUUUGUGUUCACAGGAAGCUUGCUCUGCUUGCUGUCACUGUUGUUUGCUCUACUGAGGAUUAAAGCCACCUAUUUAUUUAUUUCCUCCAUUAGCCACCUGAGAGCAGGCUAAAGAGUAGGCAACUAGAAGAAAAAAAU